GUUCACUGAUGCGGCUGCAGCGGUGGACGCGGCCUCCGUUGGUGCCGCCUCCAGUUCAAUUGAUGCUGCCUUAUAUAAGAAUGGCGGUUGGUUCGGGUUUAUCUCUGAAUCCAUGGAGUUCGUUCUCAAGGUGUUGAAGAAUGGGUUUUCAGCUGUGCAUGUGCCUUAUGCUUAUGGUUUUGCAAUUGUAUUUCUCGCUGUUAUUGUGAAAAUUGCUACGUUACCUUUGACCAAGCAACAGGUGGAAUCUACAUUGGCUAUGCAAAACCUUACCAAAGAUAAAAGCCAUUCAACAAAAAUAUGCAGGCAAUCAGGUGCGGCCGUGCGGGACAUUUGCAGUUGUAUGGAUUAUAUUGAAUUUUGAGGCAAGCUGGUGUUGAUCCAUUAGCAGGUUAUUUUCCAACUUUGGUGACAAUAACAGUUUGGAUUGGUCUAUAUCAAGCUCUUUCAAAUGUAGCAAAUGAGGGACUGUUGGCAUAAGGGUUUUUUUGGAUUCCUUUUUUUGGGCGGGCCUACUACAAUCGCAGCUCGACAAAGUGGAUCAGGCAUUUCCUGGCUUUUUCCAUUUGUGGAAUUAAUAGGAACUUUUUAUGGCCCUUGGAUGUACAUUCAUGUCAUUUAUGUUUCUCCCCUGUAGUCAACUUAGGAGCAUGAGUUGCAGAUAAUGGUACAAGGUAAAUGCUAAAUUUAGUUCUUCAAGACUGUUGAACGCGAUAUAAAGAUGGAAUCUUGUCUAUUUGAUGUAGAACAAGAAGAAACCAAACAUCAAUAGAAACAAAUUCUGAAGACACAAGGAAUAAAAACAAAUGCUCUAGAGGAAUUAAUUUUGUCAAAAAUUUUAGAGAAAAUUACUAUUUAGUCUCUGGAUUAUAGCAACAUUAAUAUUUUAGUCCUUCUAUUUUCAGUAAUAUCUUUCUUUAACAUUUGAUUCUAUCUGUUAUUUAGUCCCUCCGUCCAAAUUUUCAGUCAGUCAAUGAAUUUUUUAGGCUGGUCAAGGGAAUUUUUUUUUUUUCUUAACCGAAACACCUCCAUUAUUCUCCCAUCCUCCCUCCUGCUUCUCAUUCUCCCCUCCCCCACCCCCCUCUCAUUUCUCUCUAAUUGUGUGUUUCAGCUAUCCUAAGCUGUCUGGGGAUUUUAUAGUAAAUAAAAAAAAGGCGAAUAGUUGUAGGAAUUUGAUAACAUCAUCUAUGAAUGAAAAAUAUCACUCACCACUCUAGACGUUCGAAGUGGUUUUGUUGUUUUCUUUGCUUUUUUGCAGUUCAAGUGUUGCACCUUUGGAUCACUUCAAUGUAGAUUUUUAAAACUCAAAUCAGCCAACCAAAGGACAAAAACAUGUCUCUCUUGGCUAUUUUUUUGUCCUUCUCUUCCCUUAUCUUUUUUUUUUCUCUUGAAAAUUCGAUAGUUCCCUCUGCCUCUCCAAAUAAACAAAUUGUUGGCAACUUGUUUUCUCAUCUGAAAAAUGAAAAAUAAUUUGGAGAUGGAGCAUGGGCCAUGAAUAUUAACAAUACUGUCAUCAUUGUUGUGGCAAUAAUCAGCUCAUUUAACAAUACUGUCAUCAGGGCCAACGGAUGAUCACCACAGAUGUCACAAACAACUCUUCCAUGGAUUUCACCUGUCCAAGCUUUCACAUUGGAGAUGAAGAUGACUAGUAGAAAAAGAACGAUCACAAAAUUACUUGUUGGUGAUUGCAUCUCCAUGGCUUGCUUUUCAAGCAUAGUGUAUUUGAUACUUUAAAUUUGCAGGAAUUGACUAUCUAUAUAGUUGAUCUUUGAUUGUAGCAAUAUGGGGGAAGACAAUAAGUGAUACCUAGUCCAGAAGCAUCUUUUGAAACAUAUGAGAGAGAGAGAGAGAGAGAGAGAGAGAGAGAGAGAGAGAGAGAGAGAGAGAGAGAGAGAGAAAGACCUUAUCAGAGAUGAUCAUCAGGGCCAACGGAUGAUCACCACAGAUGUCACAAACAACUCUUCCAUGGAUUUCACCUGUCCAAGCUUUCACAUUGGAGAUGAAGAUGACUAGUAGAAAAAGAACGAUCACAAAAUUACUUGUUGGUGAUUGCAUCUCCAUGGCUUGCUUUUCAAGCAUAGUGUAUUUGAUGCUUUAAAUUUGCAGGAAUUGACUAUCCAUAUAGUUGAUCUUUGAUUGUAGCAAUAUGGGGGAAGACAAUAAGUGAUACCUAGUCCAGAAGCAUCUUUUGAAACAUAUGAACAUUGCAAAUCAAUUAUAACUGUAGUUAAAAGACUCUUCCAUUCAAUAAGAACAUGGAAGUUCGAAAUUCUUCAAUUUCUUUUGUUGUUUUCUGGCUGCAUUUUCUUCAAUAUUUAGGUUAGUUCCCUCAAACUUUCCCUGUUCAGCUUCUUUUUCUGGACCAAGUUCUUUAACAUGUGUUAGUAGGACUAGUUCUUCAAUAAGUGAAGGCUCAACAACCAAAGCUUCAGGUUCUUCAAAAUCAAAUUCUUCAACUUUAGCUUCCAAUUUUUCUUCUUGUUCUUCAUCUUCAGGUUGUUUUAUAGAUCUUAUAUCUUUAACAACUCCUGAUAACUCAACAAGCUUUUUUUUCAGUUGAACAAUUCUUCAAAGUAUGACUUCAGUUGAACCAGACAUUCGUCAUUAACAAUCUACUGUUUCUCUUUCCUUUAAUCGUAAAAUUUAUUGGAUAUUUCUAUUUUUAAUGUGAAUCAGAAUGUAUGUCAAGAACGCCAACCUUUUUAUUCAGCCAAUAACUGAGAUCAACUACCUUUGUCCUUUAUGGUGAUCAAUUUCAUCUUGUAGACAUUCAUGGUCAGUUCACAACUUGAAGUCUUACUAAAACUAAAUCUUUCGAAUAUUAAAAGUUGUUUUACUCAAAAUGGACGUCGAAAUUGAAAUCGUGGUGGCAAAAUUAGCAUAGAGGAGGUCCUGUUUUGCUAAUGAGAUAGAUGCUGAAGUGGAAGAGAUGUGUUGACUGAGUUGGCACUGACAUGCUGUUGACUGGCUGUGGCUAUCUCUGAGUCAGCGUGACAUGUUAAUGAUGUCGGCAGUGCAGACACCAAAAUAAAGCUUGGUGAGGAGCAGGAAAGUGAUCUAAGCUUGGGUGAGUUGUAAGGCUGUUAGUGCUGGUCUAUUGCACUCAAGGGGACGAGAUCUAGACUGACUUAUGCAAUGUUGUCUUAUACUGCUUGGUAGACUUUCUGUUCAUUCACGCGGUGUCUAAGAUAAUGUUAAAUACUACCACGUAGGAAUCCGUACAAGAAGCAGAUAGUGGGGCAUGAUAGUUGUACCCAGAGUUGGACUCAGCCUUUGCAUGAUCAUCACCUUGCUGUUUUGACUUUAUGGUGUCAGUCUCUGGGUUCCACACUUCACUGCUGGACAGUUAUUGACCUCACUAGGAAUCAAAGAGCCAAGGAGUGCAGAACUGAGUUGUGUGAUUGUGUAAAUGUAUGGACUUUUGCAAGCAUGUUCAGGUGUGGAACGUUCUUCAUUGUAACUCUUUGCUGUCAUAAAGUGAAGUCCACAGUUUUCAAAUCCAUGAUGAACUUCAAUAGCAUUGAAAGAAGGGUGUCAUAUUGUCUUGCAACUCUAGAACAGGGGAACACAAAUUGGUCUGAAGGAAAAGACUUAUGUUCCAUAGUCAAUAUGUAAAAUUUAAAAUUCAGAAAAUAAUCAGAGAAUCUAAUAUCAGUAUUGAAGGUUCAUAUAAUCAAAGUUUGAAGAGUUGGAACGAUUAUAAACAAGUUAAAUAGUUUCAAAAAAAAAAAAAAUACUUCUGGAUUCUGGUUUCUUUCUUUCUUCUUUUUUGUUUUCCUAAUUCAAGAGAGUGAUAGUUAAUGUUUAAUAAACCCUAUCUUAAUUGUGUUUAGCUUAGCAACUGCAACUUUAUCAUCAUUAGAAAUUAUGUUGAACUCUUUAGUUUGUAACUAAUGUGAACUCUUCUACAGUGUGAGGAAGUUCUAGAAGAAGCAUAUGUUUCUAGUGCAAGCAAACAGGUUCCAAAUAUUUCUAGGCUAAAGAGAAGCAAGCAGUCAAAGAGAAAGCAUGCUGUAUAAAGACUCUGUACUAAUAUGAUGAUUGUACUGGUGAGUCUGUAUAUCUCAAGAAAAUGUAUUUUUGUUGAUAUAUAUUAUCAUUCUUGCGUUGGUUAAGUCAUUUAAAGAUGAAUUGCAAAUUGUGGAAAUCAUGCCUAAUAAAGCCUCAAGUAUAUGAAGCAUUGCUUGCUGCCAUCUCAUUGUUGAUAAUUCAAGGCAGCAGUAGUUUCAUUGAAUCCUUAACUUGAAUGCAUUAUUAUUGCAAUAGCGAUAAAUGAGAUGGUGUAGGCGUUCAGUCAUGUUUGCAAUCACUAUAUCUGCUAUAGCAGGAACUCUUAUUUAGCAGGUACCUAGUUGUUUGUUUGCUUGUACCCUAAACUUUUAUUUGUCUGCUGGACAUGUUUUGUAUAUACUUUUUCCUAUGAAACAUCCAAUAUUGCUUGGUUUGGUUCUCAGGAAUCACAUAAAAAUGCACAGUGCUUUAUUUGUUGAAAAUGCCUGAGAAAAGUAUUUCUCAGUUGUUUCACUUUGCCUUUUCCGAUCAGUUUACGAGAACAUCGGGCACUGAAGUAACUUAUGAGUGAAAUAUGCCUAUUUCCACUAUCUGAAAGUAAGCAGAUGAAACCCACGACAAUCUCAAAAGGAAGAGAGAGAGAGAGAGAGAGAGAGAGAGGGGAUGCUGGAAAACAGGCUCAAUCCCAAAUGAAAGAAAGAAAGGAAAAAUAGAGAUAAUAAUCAUGCAUUUUUAAACAAUAUUGGUCUCAGAUGUUCGAAUCUUCAAAUAAGUUUCAUUUUUGUACAAGCAUAAAACCUCAGGGAUCAGGGUUUUCCAACCUAAAUGAAUACAUCUGACCUACUGUAGAUUUUUGUCUACUAGUGCUGAAGAAGUGAAUCCAUUGACUCAGUGCUUAGUUGGUGGGUUGUGAUUGCCUACUGGAUUUGGCCCAGAUGGAGCUUUGUGAACUUUCUUCUCUGCAACCUGUACUUAUGUCAUUGAACAGAUGUAAGUGUAGUUAAGCAAUUCAAUCGCCUAUAUUAAGAGUAUUCAAAAUGUUUUUCGGAUUCAGAUAGAUUAAAUUCCUUACCCAAGAUGGCCAGAUAUUUGCCUUGUGUGACCUUAAGCUUGGUUGUGCAGGCUUGCCUUUGAAAUGAGCUAUAGUAGCAAGAGAAAAGACAGGAUCCACUGUCAGAACUUGUGAGGAUUCUGAAAUCGUGGAGAGAAGCCACAAGCAGCAGCCAUGUUAGUAGCAGAUGGAUGAGAAGCUGCCUGCUCAUCCUGGGCAUGAGAUGGGUCAUAUUAAGUAAACAGAGAAACUCUUACUUCUAUGGUGGCUUAUACAAGUUUGAAGCAUAUUUUUAUGUGAUAUUUGUUUGAUGGUCAUGGAAAAACUUGAAUAUAAUGUGAGAAUUGUUUGUUAAAGGUGCUUGGGAAUCCUAGGCCAUUAUUUUUGCUGAAUUGAUAAAGAUUAUGAAUCUGGCAUUCUCCU